AGGCGGACGGCUCAGUAACACGUAGUCAACCUAACCUAUGGACGUGGAUAACCUCGGGAAACUGAGAAUAAACCAUGAUAGAUCAUAAUGCCUGGAAUGGCUUAUGGUUCAAACAAUUUAUUGCCAUAGGAUGGGACUGCGGCCUAUCAGCUUGUUGGUGAGGUAAUGGCCCACCAAGGCUAUAACAGGUACGGGCUCUGAGAGGAGAAGCCCGGAGAUGGGUACUGAGACACGGACCCAGGCCCUAUGGGGCGCAGCAGGCGAGAAACCUUAGCAAUGUGCGAAAGCACGACUAGGUUAAUCCGAGUGGUUCCUGCUAAAGGAACCUUUUGUCAGUCGUAAAACCACAGACGAAUAAGGGGUGGGCAAGUCUGGUGUCAGCCGCCGCGGUAAUACCAGCACCUCGAGUGGUCAGGAGGUUUAUUGGGCCUAAAGCAUCCGUAGCCGGCUUUGCAAGUCUCCGGUUAAAUCCAACUGCUUAACAGAUGGGCUGCCGGAGAUACUACAAAGCUAGGGAGCGGGAGAGGUAGACGGUACUCGGUGGGUAGGGGUAAAAUCCACUGAUCCAUCGAAGACCACCAGUGGCGAAGGCGGUCUACCAGAACGCGUUCGACGGUGAGGGAUGAAAGCUGGGGGAGCAAACCGG
rnacentral:rRNA from 1 species